AAAUCAUAUGACUCAUUAAUAUGGUGAUUAUGAUAACAUAAGGGAAAAAAAUGAUAUUACCUUAUUAUUAGUGUUGUCCAAAACUGGUGCCAGAAGACUCGGUAAGACCAGAGACGCAAACGUUAGUCAUCUUAAUCAGGCGUAAAGGGUUUGUAGGCUGCUUUAAAAUUUUAAUUCUUUGUAAUAGCUCUUUUACCGUAAUGCUAAAAUUAUUUAUUAAUUAUUUGAUUUGAUAAUAAAUAAUGUAGUAUAUAAAAUUUAUUAUAUAAAAUAAAUAAAUGAUAUAAAAUAAAUAUCCGUGUAUAAGUAAAGAAAUAAAUGAAUUAAAGCUAGGAUCAAAUUGAGGAUAAACCAAAUAAUACUUAGAGUAGGGCUUAUAUCCGUAGAUACUAAGGGGAAUACUAAAGGUGAAAACUUUUUAUCUACUAUUGAUUGACGCUGAGAAACGAAGGUGAGAAUAGGAAAUAGGAUUAGAUACCCAGAUACCUCUCACUGUCAACGAUGAAUGGUGGUUUGUUAGUUUUAAUAAAAACUGGUAACGAUGUUAACACGAUAACCAUUCCGCCUUGCGAGUACGGUUGCAAAACUGAAACCAAAAAAAUUAGUCGGUUUCGAAGCAAACGAAGUGAGCAUGUUAUUUAAUACGAGAGUACUUGCAUAUCCAAUUAUGUUCUUAGUUAAUUCUAAGUUCUUUUUAAUAAGAAAAACAGAUUGAGUAAUUUUUAUAUUUUUAAAAAUUCGUUUACA
rnacentral:rRNA from 1 species